CAGCAGUAGGGAAUCUUCCACAAUGGACGAAAGUCUGAUGGAGCAACGCCGCGUGAGUGAAGAAGGUUUUCGGAUCGUAAAACUCUGUUGUUGGAGAAGAAUGUAUCUGAUAGUAACUGAUCAGGUAGUGACGGUAUCCAACCAGAAAGCCACGGCUAACUACGUGCCAGCAGCCGCGGUAAUACGUAGGUGGCAAGCGUUGUCCGGAUUUAUUGGGCGUAAAGCGAGCGCAGGCGGUUUCUUAAGUCUGAUGUGAAAGCCUUCGGCUCAACCGAAGAAGUGCAUCGGAAACUGGGAAACUUGAGUGCAGAAGAGGACAGUGGAACUCCAUGUGUAGCGGUGAAAUGCGUAGAUAUAUGGAAGAACACCAGUGGCGAAGGCGGCUGUCUGGUCUGUAACUGACGCUGAGGCUCGAAAGCAUGGGUAGCAAACAGGAUUAGA
rnacentral:rRNA from 1 species